AACGAACGCUGGCGGCGUGCCUAACACAUGCAAGUCGAGCGGGAAAGCCCGCAAGGGUGAGUACAGUGGCGCACGGGUGCGUAACACGUGGGUAAUCUGCCCUGAAGCUCGGGAUAACUCGCCGAAAGGCGUGCUAAUACCGGAUAAGACCACGGGAGCCUCGGCUCCUGCGGGAAAAGGUGGCCUCUGUAUACAAGCUAUCACUUCAGGAUGAGCCCGCGGCCCAUCAGCUCGUUGGCGGGGUAACGGCCCACCAAGGCUACGACGGGUAGCUGGUCUGAGAGGACGAUCAGCCACACUGGAACUGAGACACGGUCCAGACUCCUACGGGAGGCAGCAGUGGGGAAUCUUGCGCAAUGGGCGAAAGCCUGACGCAGCAACGCCGCGUGUGUGAUGAAGGUCUUCGGAUCGUAAAGCACUGUCGGGAGGGACGAAUAAGGGCCGGGUGAACAAUCCGGUCUGAUGACGGUACCUCCAAAGGAAGCACCGGCUAACUCUGUGCCAGCAGCCGCAGUAAAAC
rnacentral:rRNA from 1 species